GCUUGUCUCAAAGAUUAAGCCAUGCAUGUCUAAGUAUAACUCUUUUACUUUGAAAACUGCGAACGGCUCAUUAUAUCAGUUAUAGUUUCUUUGAUGGUCCUUGCUACUUGGAUAACCGUAGUAAUUCUAGAGCUAAUACAUGCAGCAAUCCCUGACUUAGGAAAGGGUGUACUUAUUAGAUAGAAACCAAUGGGGGCAACCUCUUUAAUUGGUGAUUCAUAGUAAUUUUCGGAUCGAUCUUUGGAUCGAUGCAUCAUUCAAGUUUCUGCCCUAUCAGCUUUGGAUGGUAGGGUAUUGGCCUACCAUGGCAUUAACGGGUAACGGAGAAUUAGGGUUCGAUUCCGGAGAGGGAGCCUGAGAAAUGGCUACCACAUCCAAGGAAGGCAGCGG
rnacentral:rRNA from 1 species